rnacentral:rRNA from 1 species
AUGGCAACCACACUGGUUGUACAGCUCGUGCUGCUGUUGCUACUGUCAGUGACACAAGCCUCAGCUCAGGAGGAGCAGCAGCCGCCUCGGCAGGUUGUGCGGCCAGGCUGCCAGGACAAGUGUGGCAACAUCACGAUCCCCUACCCCUUCGGCAUCGGUGCCGGUUGCUACCGCGACGAUGGCCGAGGUGGUUUCCAGCUUGAGUGUGAUGACUCCCUCCCGGUCCCGUGGCUUGCCGUAACUGGCUAUGGCGUCCAGAUCACCAACCUAUCCAUUGGGACCGGGGAGGCCUGGGCCUACAUCAACGUGACACGCCACUGCUACAACAGCAGCGGGAGCAUCAUCAGCCGUAAUGGCGCCACGCCCGUGCCACUCAUCAACAGCCACCUUCUCUUCUCCCAGGCGAGGAACCGCCUCGUCGCGCUUGGCUGCCCCAACCUCGGUUACUUCGUCGACACUGCUGGCUACUACGUCAGUGGUUGCAUGAGCGUGUGUGGUCCGUCAAAGUUCACCUUGCCAGGUUCAUGCACAGGCGUCGCCUGCUGCCAGAGCGGGAUACCCGCUGCUGUGGACUACUUCGAGCCAUACCUGCUCGACAUCCCAAAGGAGCAGACAGACCCAAUCUUCUAUAGCAACAGCACGACCUGCCGGUACGUGUUCUUGGUGGAGGCGGAAUGGUUGAAUACCAAAUACACCGGUGGGAGCCUCAACCGGACUGAUGACUUCGCCGUGCCCGUCGUGCUCGACUGGGCAGUCUGGAACGUUCGCAACUGCAAAGCUGCCAAGCGCAAUGCAACCGACUACGCGUGCCGGAGCAUGCUCAGCCAUUGCGUCAACUCCAAAAACAGCACAGGGUACCGGUGCAACUGCUCCAAGGGGUAUGAGGGCAACCCCUAUCUAGACGAUGGAUGCAAAGACAUCAACGAGUGUGAACGCAAAGGAAAACACACAUGCCACGGGGCCUGCACAAAUACGCCGGGAAGCUACACUUGCCAAUGUCCUCCUGGGACAAGUGGAGAUGCCACCAGGAAGGAUGGUUGCCGACCAAAGGACAGUUUCACUUUAGCCCUGAAAGUAGUUACAGGAGUCAGCCUUGGAGUGUUCUUGCCAUUUUUCAUGUCCUUCUGGCUCUACUUGGGGCUCCAGAAGAGGAAGCUUAUCAGAACAAAGCAGAAGUUCUUUGAGGUAAAUGGAGGCCUCUUCCUGCAGCAGCAGAUACGUAACUACAAUGGCACCAGCAAAGGCACUGGUGGGUUCGAGAUCUUUUCCAAGGAGGAGUUGGAGAAAGCAACCAACGAGUUUGCCGCCGACCAAGUUCUUGGCCACGGCGGGCACGGCAUUGUCUACAAGGGUGUACUUGAGGACAAGACAGUAGUGGCGAUCAAGAAGUCAAAGAUGAUGGAAGAAGCCCCGACCACAGAAUUCGCGAGGGAGAUGUUCAUCCUCUCCCAGAUAAACCACAGGAAUGUCGUCAAGCUGCUCGGGUGCUGCCUUGAAGUGGAAGUGCCCAUGCUGGUCUACGAGUUCGUCUCAAAUGGUACCCUUUACCACUACAUCCAUGGCAGUAAGGGCCUUGACUCUGACGCAGCCCUCGACACAUGUCUUCGGAUAGCAGUAGAGUCAGCCGAGGCACUGGCAUACAUGCACUCUUCAGCCUCGCCGCCGAUUCUCCAUGGAGAUGUCAAGACGGCAAACAUUCUGUUGGAUCACAAGCUCACAGCAAAAGUUUCAGAUUUCGGAGCAUCAAAACUGGCACCAACUGAUGAGGCCAAGAUGGCAACGUUGGUGCAGGGAACUUGCGGUUACCUUGACCCGGAAUAUCUAAUGACAUGCCGGCUGACUGAUAAGAGUGAUGUGUACAGCUUUGGUGUCGUCCUAUUGGAGCUUCUGACAAGGAAGAAGGCACUGUACUUCGAUGGGCCGGAGGAAGAUAGAAGCCUUGUUUUAUGCUUCAUGAUGGCAGUGAAGGUAGGCCAGCACCAAGACCUUCUGGACAGCCAAGUGAGGGACGAGAUGAGAAUUGAAGCGCUCGAAGAGAUCACACACCUGGUUGUGAGAUGCUUGAACAUGAGUGGGGAGGAGCGGCCGACAAUGAAGGAGGUUGCAGAGACGUUGGAGAUGCUGAGGAGAUACCACAGCCACCCGUGGGCUCAAGCAGAUGCCAAUCCAGAGGAGGAACAGAGUUUGCUUGCUAUGGAACCACGGAAUGCCAAUUACAAGUUCACACAAGAUUGCGUCCUUGAUUUUGAAGCAAGCAGUACAUACAGCUAUAGCUUGUAG